GCCUGGAUAGCUCAGUUGGUUAGAGUGUGGUGCUCAUAACACCAAGGCUGCAGGUUCGAUCCACGUAUGGGGCA